UACGAAGGGGGCUAGCGUUGCUCGGAAUCACUGGGCGUAAAGCGCACGUAGGCGGCUUUCUAAGUCAGGGGUGAAAUCCUGGAGCUCAACUCCAGAACUGCCUUUGAUACUGGGAAGCUCGAGUCCGGAAGAGGUGAGUGGAACUCCGAGUGUAGAGGUGAAAUUCGUAGAUAUUCGGAAGAGCACCACUGGCGAAGGCGGCUCACUGGUCCGGUGCUGACGCUGAGGUGCGAAAGCGUGGGGAGCAAGCAGG
rnacentral:rRNA from 1 species